rnacentral:tRNA from 1 species
GAGUUGGUGCCUGAGCGGUCAAUAGGGAUGGACUGUAAAUCCAUUUAUAAUAUAUUAUCAUCGGUUCAAAUCCGGUUCAACUCA